rnacentral:rRNA from 1 species
CCUACGGGUGACAGCAGUGGGGGAUAUUGCACAAUGGGGGAAACCCUGAUGCAGCGACGCCGCGUGGGUGAAGAAGCGCCUCGGCGCGUAAAGCCCUGUCAGCAGGGAAGAAAAUGACGGUACCUGAAGAAGAAGCCCCGUCUAACUACGUGCCAGCAGCCGCGGCAACACGGCGGGGGCAAGCGUUAUCCGGAUUUACUGGGUGUAAAGGGGGCGCAGACGGCGAUGCAAGCCAGGAGUGAAAGCCCGGGGCCCAACCCCAGGACUGCUCUUGGAACUGGGUGGCUAGAGUGCAGGAGGGGCAGGCGGAAUGCGUGGUGUAGCGGUGAAAUGCGUAGAUAUCAGGAGGAACACCGGUGGCGAAGGCAGCCUGCUGGACUGCAACUGACGUUGAGGCCCGAAGGCGUGGGGAGCAAACAGGAUUAGAUACCCCGGUAGUC